rnacentral:rRNA from 1 species
UACGUAGGGUGCAAGCGUUGUCCGGAAUUAUUGGGCGUAAAGAGCUCGUAGGCGGUCUGUCGCGUCGGCUGUGAAAACCCGAGGCUCAACCUCGGGCCUGCAGUCGAUACGGGCAAACUAGAGUACUGCAGGGGAGACUGGAAUUCCUGGUGUAGCGGUGGAAUGCGCAGAUAUCAGGAGGAACACUGGUGGCGAAGGCGGGUCUCUGGGCCGUUACUGACGCUGAGGAGCGAAAGCGUGGGGAGCGAACAGG